UCGGAUUGCAGGCUGCAACCCGCCUGUAUGAAGUUGGAAUUGCUAGUAAUCGCGGAUCAGCAUGCCGCGGUGAAUACGUUCCCGGGCUUUGUACACACCGCCCGUCAAACCAUGAAAGUCGGGGAACACCCGAAGUCUGUGAGCUGACCGCAAGGAGGCAGCAGCCGAAGGUGGGUUCGAUGAUUGGGGUUAAGUCGUAACAAGGUACC
rnacentral:rRNA from 1 species